AGAGUUUGAUCAUGGCUCAGAAUCAACGCUGGCGGCGCGCCUAACACAUGCAAGUCGAACGAGAAAGUGGAGCAAUCCAUGAGUACAGUGGCGUACGGGUGAGUAACACGUGGGUAAUCUACCCUUUGGUGGGGAAUAACUCUGGGAAACCGGAGCUAAUACCGCAUAAUCCCGAGAGGGAAAAGCAGCAAUGCGCCGAAGGAGGAGCCCGCGGCCGAUUAGCCAGUUGGUAGGGUAAUGGCCUACCAAAGCAAAGAUCGGUAGCCGGCCUGAGAGGGCACACGGCCACACUGGCACUGAAACACGGGCCAGACUCCUACGGGAGGCAGCAGUGGGGAAUCUUGCACAAUGGGGGAAACCCUGAUGCAGCGACGCCGCGUGAGCGAUGAAGCCCUUCGGGGUGUAAAGCUCUUUCGGCAGGGAAGAUUAUGACGGUACCUGCAGAAGCAGCUGCGGCUAACUACGUGCCAGCAGCCGCGGUAAUACGUAGGCAGCAAGCGUUGUUCGGAGUUACUGGGCGUAAAGGGUGUGUAGGCGGCUUUUUAAGUUUGGUGUGAAAUCUCCCGGCUCAACCGGGAGGGUGCGCCGAAUACUGAGAGGCUAGAGUGCGGGAGAGGAAAGUGGAAUUCCUGGUGUAGCGGUGAAAUGCGUAGAUAUCAGGAGGAACACCGGUGGUGUAGACGGCUUUCUGGACCGUAACUGACGCUGAAACACGAAAGCGUGGGUAGCAAACAGGAUUAGAUACCCUGGUAGUCCACGCCCUAAACGAUGCAUAUUUGGUGUGGGUCAUUCAGUUGAUCCGUGCCGGAGCUAACGCGUUAAAUAUGCCGCCUGGGGAGUACAGUCGCAAGGCUGAAACUCAAAGGAAUUGACGGGGGCCCGCACAAGCGGUGGAGCAUGUGGGUUCAAUUCGACGCAACGCGAAGAACCUUACCUGGCUCGAACGGCUGGUUAACGGCGGUGGAAACAUCGCUACCCCGCAAGGGGUCCAGUCGAGUGCUGCAUGGCUG
rnacentral:rRNA from 1 species